GGGUAGCGGAACACGUACGCAACCUCCCCAAAAUUAGUGAAUAGCCUUCCGAAAGGAAGAUUAAUACACCGUAACAUAAUGAAGUGGCAUCACUUUAUUAUUAUAGCUCCGGCGAUUUUGGAUGGGCGUGCGCCUGAUUAGGUAGUUGGCGGGGUAACGGCCCACCAAGCCUGCGAUCAGUAACUGGUGUGAGAGCACGACCAGUCACACGGGCACUGAGACACGGGCCCG
rnacentral:rRNA from 1 species